AGUGAACGCUGGCGGUAGGCCUAACACAUGCAAGUCGAACGGCAGCACAGUAAGAGCUUGCUCUUACGGGUGGCGAGUGGCGGACGGGUGAGGAAUACAUCGGAAUCUACUUUUUCGUGGGGGAUAACGUAGGGAAACUUACGCUAAUACCGCAUACGACCUACGGGUGAAAGCAGGGGAUCUUCGGACCUUGCGCGAUUGAAUGAGCCGAUGUCGGAUUAGCUAGUUGGCGGGGUAAAGGCCCACCAAGGCGACGAUCCGUAGCUGGUCUGAGAGGAUGAUCAGCCACACUGGAACUGAGACACGGUCCAGACUCCUACGGGAGGCAGCAGUGGGGAAUAUUUGACAAUGGGCGCAAGCCUGAUCCAGCCAUACCGCGUGGGUGAAGAAGGCCUUCGGGUUGUAAAGCCCUUUUGUUUGGAAAGAAAAGCAGCAGGUUAAUACCCCGCUGUUCUGACGGUACCCAAAGAAUAAGCACCGGCUAACUUCGUG
rnacentral:rRNA from 1 species